AUUGAACGCUAGCGGCAGGCUUUACACAUGCAAGUCGAACGAGUGGCGGACGGGUGAGUAAUAUAUGGGAACCUGCCCAGUAGCGGGGGAUAACUACUCGAAAGAGUGGCUAAUACCGCAUACCAUCGGAGCGGCCCAGAUCGGAUUAGCUAGUUGGUGGGGUAAAGGCUCACCAAGGCAACGAUCCGUAGCUGGUCUGAGAGGAUGACCAGCCACACUGGGACUGAGACACGGCCCAGACUCCUACGGGAGGCAGCAGUGGGGAAUUUUGCACAAUGGGGGAAAGCCUGAUGCAGCCAUCCCGCGUGUAUGAGAAGGCCUUCGGGUUGUAAAGUACUUUUGGCAGAGAAGCGGUAUCUGCAGAAUAAGCACCGGCUAACUACGUGCCAGCAGCCGCGGUAAUUC
rnacentral:rRNA from 1 species